rnacentral:rRNA from 1 species
AUUGAACGCUGGCGGCAGGCUUAACACAUGCAAGUCGAGCGAGCGGCGGACGGGUGAGUAAUGUCUGGGAAACUGCCUGAUGGAGGGGGAUAACUACUGGAAACGGUAGCUAAUCCCGCAUACCAUCAGAUGUGCCCAGAUGGGAUUAGCUAGUAGGUGGGGUAAUGGCUCACCUAGGCGACGAUCCCUAGCUGGUCUGAGAGGAUGACGAGGCACACUGGAACUGAGACACGGUCCAGACUCUUACUGGAGGCAGCAGUGGGGAAUAUUGCACAAUGGGCUCAAGCCUGAUCCAGCUAUGCCGCGUGUGUGAAGAAGGCCUUCGGGUUGUAAAGCACUUUCAGCGAGGAGGCGUUACUCGCAGAAGAAGCACCGGCUAACUCCGUGCCAGCAGCCGCGGUAAUAC